CCUACGGGGGGCUGCAGUCGAGAAUCAUUCACAAUGGGGGAAACCCUGAUGGUGCGAAGCCGCGUGGGGGAAUGAAGGUCUUCGGAUUGUAAACCCCUGUCAUGUGGGAGCAAAUUAAAAAGAUAGUACUACAAGAGGAAGAGACGGCUAACUCUGUGCCAGCAGCCGCGGUAAUACAGAGGUCUCAAGCGUUGUUCGGAAUCACUGGGCGUAAAGCGUGCGUAGGCUGUUUCGUAAGUCGUGUGUGAAAGGCGCGGGCUCAACCCGAGGACGGCACAUGAUACUGCGAGACUAGAGUAAGGGAGGGGGAACCGGAAUUCUCGGUGUAGCAGUGAAAUGCGUAGAUAUCGAGAGGAACACUCGUGGCGAAGGCGGGUUCCUGGACAUUAACUGACGCUGAGGCACGAAGGCCAGGGGAGCGAAAGGGAUUAGAUACCCCAGUAGUC
rnacentral:rRNA from 1 species